GACGAACGCUGGCGGCGUGCUUAACACAUGCAAGUCGAACGGAAAGGCCCCUUUGGGGGUACUCGAGUGGCGAACGGGUGAGUAACACGUGAGUAACCUGCCCUUGACUUCGGGAUAACUUCAGGAAACUGGGGCUAAUACCGGAUAGGAAUCCUUGCUGCAUGGUGGGGGUUGGAAAGCUUCGGCGGUUUUGGAUGGACUCGCGGCUUAUCAGCUUGUUGGUGGGGUAGUGGCUUACCAAGGCUUUGACGGGUAGCCGGCCUGAGAGGGCGACCGGCCACAUUGGGACUGAGAUACGGCCCAGACUCCUACGGGGGGCAGCAGUGGGGAAUAUUGCACAAUGGGCGGAAGCCUGGUGCAGCAACGCCGCGGGCGGGAUGACGGCCUUCGGGUUGUAAACCGCUUUCAGCAGGGGCGAAGCUUGUGGUGACGGUACCUGCAGAAGAAGCACCGGCUAACUACGUG
rnacentral:rRNA from 1 species